rnacentral:lncRNA from 1 species
AUAGAGUUCCUUUGCAACUAUAUGUGGACUUAUAACUUUGGUAGCAGACCACUACUUUCUUUGAGUAAUUAAUUUUUACGAUUAAGUAUACAAUUUGUAAGACCCUGAAGUUUGGGGUUAGAAGUUUUGAGUUUUAUGGUUAGGGUCAGUGAGAAGUUUCGCUAUUCUGUUUAGGUCCGCAUUCAAGUGAUAAAAUGACCCACUGGU